rnacentral:lncRNA from 1 species
AGAAACUAAGAAAAAGUCACGUCUUCUCUCAUGGGAUCUGAGAAGGCAGUCACAUCUGCUGGGUAGCGGGUGCAGGGCCCGGUCCGCGGCACUUGUUUAUUGUCGCGCCGCUGGUGCGAGCCAAGCUGCAGCAGACAUGAUGGCCCGGGGCGAAGCAGGAGCCCAGUGGCCGGUAGGUGGCAGCCGAGGGCGAAGGCGUCCCUGGGCUCUGGAGGCAUAGCCAGAACCCCCUUAGAUGUCACAUUCGUGGAGACAGAGGAGUCUUGGACCAUGUGCGCAACUGGAGCGUAGGAGUGUGCACUCGUCUUCUCGGAAAGGAAGGGCUGGAAAUAACCCUGACAGUGUUAGGCUUGGUGGCGAUCAGGGACAGAUGACUCUUACCGGUAGCCGUUUGCCCAAAUGCUUCUGCCCUUUGGAAGAGUCUUUGUGGCAGUGUGAGUUGUCUCCAGUAAGGGACCCUGGAGGGAGUGGCUCAUCCUAGCUAUAAAGAGUGUGUUAUUUUUAUCUUUUUUUUUUAAAGAAUCACUUUUUCUAAGUAUGUCGGAGUGAUUGAGCAGAGAGAAAAAUGAAUACCCUAAGCGAACUAGAAAUCUGGAAAGAACCGAAAUAGAGGCAGUGUCUCAUGACACUUUACUUGAGGACUCACCUGAUGAACUGCUGAUCAACUCUAUAGAUUCCUUCACCUAACCAGAACUGACUUCAUCAGAGAGUUAUGAUGGUUAACUCUAUCAGUCUUCUACCUGAAUGCCCCAAGAUAUUGAUGAAGUCAACAAAAACAUUGAGCCUCAGAACACAAGAAAUCUUGGACAAACUGGGAGACAGCUUGUCAGUAUCUAAGUUUCCCUUCCCUCCAUUCCUCCCAGUUCCUCUGCACACCCACCUCCCAUCUCUGGUAGACCCACAACUCCUCCAAACUUCAAAAAAGUGCUGACCUUCCAGGGACAUCAACCAAACAUGGCAUAACAGGUAACAAUA